GUAGUGCUGGUAUCAAAGAUUUUUUUUUUCCCACUUGAAAAAGUAGUUCAUGAACAUGUAAAAAAGAAAACAAUAAAACUAUUCAAACAGUACCAAAGAGUAGGUAGUGAAAAUAGGUUUCUUUUUCACUCUAGCUUGUCUUAUUUUCUCAUUAAAAUUAGAAAUGUCUUUGUGUCCUUGUAGUUUUCUGUGUAUAUAGAAAGAAGUAUGGCUCCCUUAUUUUAACGCAAAUUGGAAUUUGCUACAUACUCUGUUCUUCAUUGUGCUUUUUCAAAGAUCUUUUGAUACAGAACUAAAUCGAUAAACGUUAAAGAUUUCAUCCUCCUGGUCCAAUAAAGUAUAUUAGCAUUGCCUUAAAAUUUCCACCUAGUAUUUUUAAAUAAAUAUUAAUGAAUAAGCUCAAAGAUAUGUUUACAGAGCCAUAGAUUACAGUCUCCUGCAUACUUACGUAAAGAUGUUAACUGUUUGAUAGAAAAAUGUGAAAGUCAAAAAUUUUCCUUUAAACUGACAUGUGUUUAGGGAAACAAGACUCAAACCUUUCCUGUAUGUUUCUUGCUAGCCCUUUUGCUCUGCUUUUAUAGGACUGAGCUAUAUAUAAUAUGAUAGAAACAGUGCUCUUAUUUCUUUGUCUUUCCCAUUACUGUACAUGAUUUUUCAACUUACAGCACCUUUGGUUGUAUAUGUGUAGACGCUGGCCAGGAUGAAUUUAGAUUUGUAACAUUGAUUCGAUGUCAGAUUACAUAAGCAUGGUGCAUUGGAAAAACAACAAAAUGAGACCAGUGAUUGAAAGUUUUAUUCUGGUUCUACAAAUGAUACAACUCCUUCAACUUAAAUUUUUUGUUGUUACUGUUAAAAUGUGAAAGAUAUAUUUGUAUAAUCGUAGACAAAGUCUUUGAACUUUUUGGAUCUUAAUUAAAUUUACUUAGAAGGUGGUAGUAUCUGGAUUAACUGCAGUUUUUAUGAUUUGUGAGAAUUGAUUCAUUUGUGAUAAAGUUCUUUGAUGUCUCCAUUUUUAAUAGGGCUUUGAUCAAUUGGGAAAUAUUAAUGGACAGAAAUAAAGUAGAUGAUGGUUAUCUAACUUGCAUACUCUUCAGUAUGCUGGUUUUCACAACUGAUCUUUACCUACUAGUAAAUGGCAUGCACUGCAGUUUAUCACCUUCUUCUGGUCUGCCUGCCUUUAUGAUAAGAGAUAAAAGCAGUUAUCUAUUCAGGUCCACCAAUAUAAUGUUUGGUUUGCUUUCAAGCUACUUGAACAAGUCAAAGUAACUGCUUUUGCAGUUAUUUGUAGAAAUAUCUUCAGAAAUAAAAAUAUGAAGGUUAGGGGUAUUAGGCUAUUCUUUAUUUAAUUUCUACAGAGACGCCCUAGAGAAUAUAUCUACAUAAGUAGAAACUUCCUUCAUUCAGAUAACUAUAAAGGUGGUACCAGAAUACUUUGUAAUAUUGGUGAUGAAAAUUAUUUCUCGUGUCAAAGGGUAUUUGUGCUAUUUUAAAGCAUGUUGCUGUUCCGCUAAAUACUGGACUAAUCAGUCAGUAAUAAAGUCCAGUGUAUUUCUACUUUUCUUACCAGCUUAGCUUUGACUCCUGUGACCCUCUAUUACCUGAUCUUGUUUAUAUCACCAUACUUGAUAGCCAGUAGUCUUCUGCAGUUUCUGUAGCUGUUAACACCUCGAAUCCCAACUUAGGUUAAUAUCACUAAAUAUAUUACCCUAAAGGACACACAAACCAACGUAUGUACAGACUCUCAGAGUGAAACCUUCUACUCUGUGCCUUAGAACAUAUUUAAACAUAUUUAUAAGCACAUAGCUUAUACACCUGUGGACAGAGUUGUCAGCAAGAAGUUGUGGAGAACUUUCAUAGCAAAUCCUAAAACUAAGUACUUUGUUUUCAUAAUUAGGUCCAUAUCACACCUAGGCUGACCUUAAGAAUUUUUAGGUCUGCUGGAGGGUCUGGAGAUGAGUGAAAAGGAAUUUCUGCCACUGUUUGUUGAUGUCUCCUCAAUACUUUUCUUUCUUCUUCCAUAAUUUGUUUUUCAGCAUACCAGAACUUUCAUCAUAAUAUACUUGGUCUUGAUAGAAUCUUAACAAAAAUAAAUUAAAAUGUGUGAUGGUCUCUGGUACUCUCUAUGCCCUAAUCCAGUUUAAAUGAUGCAUUUGGAACUUGGGAGUGGAAUUAAAUCAUAUUAUUUGAUUUCAGAAUUGUAUUAAUCUUGCUUCAGUGAAUGCAGCAGCAAUAAAAAAGGUACAAAAAUAGAAGUGAACGAUUUAGCAAAAAUGGCAACUGAAAAAUAUAUGAA
rnacentral:lncRNA from 1 species